rnacentral:rRNA from 1 species
GACGAACGCUGGCGGCGUGCUUAACACAUGCAAGUCGAACGAAGUGGCGAACGGGUGAGUAACGCGUAAUCAACCUGCCCUUCAGAGGGGUACAACAGUUUGAAACGACUGCUAAUACCGCAUACUGAAGGAGGGGCUUUCGUCUGUUUAGCUAGUUGGAGGGGUAACGGCCCAACAAGGCGAUGAUCAGUAGCCGGUCUGAGAGGAUGAACGGCCACAUUGGGACUGAGACACGGCCCAGACUCCUAAGGGAGGCAGCAGUGGGGAAUCUUCCGCAAUGGACGAAAGUCUGACGGAGCAACGCCGCGUGAGUGAUGACGGCCUUCGGGUUGGAAAGCUCUGUUAAUCGGGACGCGGUACCGGAAUAGAAAGCCACGGCUAACUACGUGCCAGCAGCCGCGGUAAUAC